UCCUACGGGAGGGCAGCAGUGGGGAAUAUUGGACAAUGGGCGGAAAGCCUGAUCCAGCCAUGCCGCGUGUGUGAAGAAGGUCUUCGGAUUGUAAAGCACUUUAAGUUGGG
rnacentral:rRNA from 1 species